CCUACGGGUGGCAGCAGUGAGGAAUAUUGGUCAAUGGACGAGAGUCUGAACCAGCCAAGUCGCGUGAAGGAUGAAUGCCCUAUGGGUUGUAAACUUCUUUUAUAUGGGAAUAAAACGUUCCACGUGUGGGAUUUUGUAUGUAACAUAUGAAUAAGGAUCGGCUACCUCCGUGCCAGCAGCCGCGGUAAUACGGAGGAUCCGAGCGUUAUCCGGAUUUAUUGGGUUUAAAGGGAGCGUAGGUGGAUUGUUAAGUCAGUUGUGAAAGUUUGCGGCUCAACCGUAAAAUUGCAUUUGAAACUGGCAGUCUUGAGUACAGUAGAGGUGGGCGGAAUUCGUGGUGUAGCGGUGAAAUGCUUAGAUAUCACGAAGAACUCCGAUUGCGAAGGCAGUUCACUGGACUGCAACUGACACUGAGGCUCGAAAGUGUGGGUAUCAAACAGGAUUAGAUACCCCUGUAGUC
rnacentral:rRNA from 1 species